UGGGGAAUCUUCCGCAAUGGACGAAAGUCUGACGGAGCAACGCCGCGUGAGUGAAGAAGUUAUUCGGAUCGUAAAACUCUGUCUUUUGGGGCGAACGUGAGUAUGGUGAACAAUCAUAGUCAGUGACGGUACCAAAGGAGGAAGCCACGGCUAACUACGUGCCAGCAGCCGCGGUAAUACGUAGGUGGCAAGCGUUGUCCGGAAUUAUUGGGCGUAAAGAGCGCGUAGGCGGGAUAGUCAGUCUGUUGUAAAAGUGCGGGGCUCAACCCCGUGAUGGCAAUGGAAACAGCUAUUCUUGAGUGCAGGAGAGGAAAGUGGAAUUCCCAGUGUAGCGGUGAAAUGCGUAGAUAUUGGGAGGAACACCAGUGGCGAAGGCGACUUUCUGGACUGUGUCUGACGCUGAGGCGCGAAAGCCAGGGGAGCGAACGGGAUUAGAUACCCCCGGUAGUCCUGGCCGUAAACGAUGGGUACUAGGUGUGGGAGGUAUCGACCCCUUCCGUGCCGGAGUUAACGCAAUAAGUACCCCGCCUGGGGAGUACGGUCGCAAGACUGAAACUUAAAGGAAUUGACGGGGUCAUAGCUGUUUCCUG
rnacentral:rRNA from 1 species